CCCGCCUGGAUGGGGAUAGAGGGAGGUUUCUGGGUUCUUGCCUUUAUAGGAAAGGGGCCCUCGGGGACAUGGGUGUGGGGGCUAAAAUGGGAAAGUUAUCACAGGCUGGGGACCUGGGUCCUGAAGGUCAAGGGGAUCCCUGCUGUCCUGGGAAGGGGGCAGGUGAGCCAGUUAUUUUUGAGAUUUGUUUUCCUUCGUACUCUAAGAUCUAGAAUGGGGGUCAGUAAACUUCUUCUUAAAGGGACAGACAAUAAAUAUUUUUGGCAACACAGGCCUAAAAAUCAAUGAUUUCAGGUAGGUACUUACAUAACCAUUUACAAUGUAACCAUUUAAAAUGUAAACACCAGGGGCACCUGAGUGGCUCAGUCGGUUGGGGAUCCGACUCUUGAUUUUGGCUUGUGGCGGUGUGGAGGCCACUUGAGAUUCUCCUCCUUCUGCCCCUCCCCCCGGCAUGCGUGUGUGCUCUCUCAAAUAAAUAAAUAAUCUUUUACUACCCCAUUCCCUAGGUCCCAGAACACAGGGUUGAGUCCUGGGUGCUGGACAUGAAGGGUGUAGACUGGUAUUUGCUGAGACUACAGAGACACGUCUAACCCCCCUUGACAUGGGUGCAGAAAUCCAAGUAUAAAGGCAGCCCAGGGCUCGGCACCACUCACCUCAGGCUGUCAGAGAAGGCCUCCAGGCCGAACUUGGAGACACAGUAGCCCCCGCCAUUGGCUGCCAGGCGACCCAAAACACUGGUGACGUUGACCACCCGGCCCCGGGCCCGCUGCAGCAGUGGCAGCAGGGCGAGGGUGACGCCGAUGGGACCCAGUGUAUUCACGUUCAGCACCCGACGGAAAUCAUUCUGUGUGAGCCACGGUGUGGGCCCGAUGAUCCCGGCCACACCAGCGUUAUUCACCAGACCAAAAAGCCCUGUGGAGAGAGGAGACAGACACCACAGGGUAGGUAAGGCAUUCCGGCGCUCUCUCCCCGGAUCACUGCUCCUUCCCCAUGCACUCCCUCCAGCUUCAAGCAGCCUGCCCGUGGGCCUAGUGGCUACUCACCUGCUUCCCCGACGUGUGUUUCCACCCACUUGGCUGCCCGCUGGACACUCUGGGGAUCAGUGACAUCCAGCAGGGUGGUGUGGAGGCGGGAGGAGGCCACCCGCUGUAGGUCCUCUGCCCCCGAGGGGGUCAGGCAGCUGGCCAGGACUCGGAAGCCUCUCUGGUCCAGUCUCAGUGCCAAAAGCCGCCCGAAGCCUGAGUCGCAGCCGGUGAUGAAGAUGAAAGCAUCGCUGGCGGGCAGGCUCUGGCGGUCCCUGAGCAACCACAGCGCCGCCCAGAGCAGGACUCCCAGCAGCAGAGGCAGCCACAUGGCCAGAGCCCAAGUGACCUGCCAGUGGCAGCCGAGGCUGGGCAGGAAAACUUGUCUCGUUUACUCUGGUCUCAAACCCUGGCCCCUGAGAGCCUCCCUAGCUGGAAGCCUGGUCUGAGCAGACUGAGAAAUUAUCUGCUUGGCAGGUAACUGGCACACUCUGGCUCAUGCAAGCAAAGCAAAGACCCAGGCGGACCCUGUAUCUGUGGCUACCUUAAUAAAGCCGGUGAGCCGGGGCCGGGGCGCAGACUCCGGCUCGGGAGCUGAGGAAUCCGGUUGGCUUUCCCCUCUCCUGCUAAGCCAGUGACAUCUGAAUUCUCUGCGUGUAAACUGGGCCUUAUUUUUGGAAACACGUACAGGGCCAAGAGCCCUGCGCUUUCGUCCUGUUGGCCCCAAACUUACUGUGUGAUGCUGAGUGUCUCCCUGUGUCUCCGAACCUGUUUUCUAUUCUACCAGUGGGGCCAAUGCCCACCGUGGCCCACCUGGCAGCUGUGGAGGGUCCACAGGGAUCAUGUGGGAGGAAGCACUUGAAAAGCUUAUGGCUUUGACUUACCAACACGUGUGAUACCAGGAGCGCCCCUCAGAGCGCCCAGCUCCCGGUGCCCUGCUCACCUCCUCGGGGCAAAGCUAGCAGGCGGCACAAUGCCUGAAGCUCCUUGUUUUGCUCCGUUUGAGAGACUUUGCUCCCAGUCUUUCCAGGCUCCCACACUAGCUACAGCUAAUGCCAAAGUCCACAGUGGGUGGCCUGGGUCCCAGAAGUAUUAAGUGUGUGUGGGUGGGGUGGGGGAGCGGCUGGGAGGAGGAGCCUGGGAAGCUGGAGCCUGGCGGUCGAAGCCAAGGCUUGGCACAGGUCAGGUGUGCCCAGGCCCCCUUCUCAGCUGUCUUUUCCAGCCGGGGUGCCUGACUGCCUCUGUCACGGAUGACCAGGAGGAGGGAUAUGUCAAGGAUGGCAGCUGCCCCUCUCUGUGGUGACCCUGGACUGGCCACUCCUCCUCCUUCCAAGCCCCGAAGGGCCCCCAUGCCCAAGAACUAAUCUCCAACCUGGUCCAGACUCAUGACACUGCUUAGCACCAGGCUGGGAGAGGCCACGAGCACGUGGAGAGGCAGAGAGCCAGAGCCGGGACCAAGCCUGCUCCCUGUCGUAUUUCUCCUCUGCAGGAAACUGAAGUCCUGAGUCAGGAAGCUUGGGGCAGGGCCCACUAACCUUCUGUGUGGAGGUGUGGGAAACUUCUGCCCUCUGCUUAUGCAA